UCCUUCCUUGUCUUGGGGAGCAGAAAUGUCCAAUGAACGUAUAGUGAGGAUAUUGCUGCUGACACCAAUGAUUUAAAACCCCCGUUCACUGAUGUUGCAUCGGUGUUCGGAAUUUUUGGAAAA